GAUGAACGCUAGCUACAGGCUUAACACAUGCAAGUCGAUGGGCAUCAGGAAGAAAGCUUGCUUUCUUUGCUGGCGACCGGCGCACGGGUGAGUAACACGUAUCCAACCUGCCCUUUACUCGGGGAUAGCCUUUCGAAAGAAAGAUUAAUACCCGAUAGCAUAAUGAUUCCGCAUGGUUUCAUUAUUAAAGGAUUCCGGUAAAGGAUGGGGAUGCGUUCCAUUAGGUUGUUGGUGAGGUAACGGCUCACCAAGCCUUCGAUGGAUAGGGGUUCUGAGAGGAAGGUCCCCCACAUUGGAACUGAGACACGGUCCAAACUCCUACGGGAGGCAGCAGUGAGGAAUAUUGGUCAAUGGGCGCUAGCCUGAACCAGCCAAGUAGCGUGAAGGAUGAAGGCUCUAUGGGUCGUAAACUUCUUUUAUAUAAGAAUAAAGUGCAGUAUGUAUACUGUUUUGUAUGUAUUAUAUGAAUAAGGAUCGGCUAACUCCGUGCCAGCAGCCGCGGUAAUACGGAGGAUCCGAGCGUUAUCCGGAUUUAUUGGGUUUAAAGGGAGCGUAGGUGGACUGGUAAGUCAGUUGUGAAAGUUUGCGGCUCAACCGUAAAAUUGCAGUUGAUACUGUCAGUCUUGAGUACAGUAGAGGUGGGCGGAAUUCGUGGUGUAGCGGUGAAAUGCUUAGAUAUCACGAAGAACUCCGAUUGCGAAGGCAGCUCACUGGACUGCAACUGACACUGAUGCUCGAAAGUGUGGGUAUCAAACAGG
rnacentral:rRNA from 1 species